rnacentral:rRNA from 1 species
AGAGUUUGAUUCUGGCUCAGGAUGAACGCUAGCGGCAGGCUUAACACACGCAAGUCGAGGGGCAGCGCGGGGCGGCAACGUCCUGGCGGCGACCGGCGGAAGGGUGCGUAACGCGUGAGCGACAUGCCCGUUGCCCGGGGACAACCGGUGGAAACGCCGACUAAUCCCCGAUGGGACGGAGGCCCUCAUGGGUCUCUGUUGAAAGUUACGGCGGCGACGGAUUGGCUCGCGUCCGAUUAGCUUGUUGGCGGGGUAACGGCCCACCAAGGCUACGAUCGGUAGGGGUUCUGAGAGGAAGGUCCCCCACAAUGGAACUGAGACACGGUCCAUACUCCUACGGGAGGCAGCAGUGAGGAAUAUUGGUCAAUGGGCGGAAGCCUGAACCAGCCAUGCCGCGUGCGGGAAGGAGGCCCUAUGGGCUGUGAACCGCUUUUGCCUGGGGGCAAUAAGGGCGUCGCGCACGUCCGAUGAGAGUACCAGGCGAAUAAGCAUCGGCUAACUCCGUGCCAGCAGCCGCGGUAAUACGGGGGAUGCGAGCGUUAUCCGGAUUCAUUGGGUUUAAAGGGUGCGUAGGCUGUGCGUCAAGUCAGGGGUGAAAUUCCGGGGCUCAACUCCGGGGCUGCCCUUGAUACUGUCGCGCUGGAGUGCGGAUGCCGCCGGAGGAAUGAGUGGUGUAGCGGUGAAAUGCUUAGAUAUCACUCAGAACACCGAUUGCGAAGGCAUCUGGCGAAUCCGUAACUGACGCUGAGGCACGAAAGCGUGGGGAUAGAACAGGAUUAGAUACCCUGGUAUUCCACGCCGUAAACGAUGAUGGCUAACCGCCGGCGACACCCUGUCGGUGGCCAGCGAAAGCGAUA